AUGAGGAAGAACAGUCUAAUGGUGCGUUCAGGAGAAAGAUUUAGGAGGUUCUUCCAAAUGCGCCACAACAUUCUGGCCAGAAAAGACUGGUGCAACAUCAGAUGGAGGCCAAUGAAAAUUAGCCACACAAACCAGCAGGAUGGAAAUAGUUGUAGGGUUUUUGUUAUAAAGUUUGGCAAGGUAAUACUGUCAGAAUUCCCUGAUGUCCCCAACGAUAUUUCCAUCGACGCAAGCCUGGAGGCAGUUACUGAAAUUAGGCAACAGAUGGCAGCUACUAUUAUAGCAUCUUCAGAGCCUAUUCAAAGUGUUUGCCAGCUGUGUGGCUGCAAAGAGACAGCUGAGAAUGAACUCUGGAUCCAGUGUGAUAGCUGCUUGCUCUGGACACAUACAAAGUGCACUGACCUGACACAGAAGGAGGUGGACGUAGUAACCAAGGAUAACAGUCCAUGGUUUUGCAAAUUUUGCAUUGUGUAAAUAUACACGAUAUGACACAGCAAUUGAAAGCAAUACUCUAUUUUGGCUGUUUAAGAAAGGUUCUUUAAAAAUGUAAAAAAUAAGACAAUGUUGUCAUGCAUUACUGUGGAUAAAAAAUUAUUUUGAAAUCUGAAACUAAAACUGUAACACAAAGAAGAACAAAUAGCUGUCAAAAAAUAAGACAGAAAAUAAGUUGUUAAAGACUUUCAAUGACCUUCAAACUCUAUUUUAAACAUCUUGUACCAAUUUGAAAGGUUCUUAAAAAUUUUUAAUCGAAAUACGGUGAAGUUGACAAGCCUUGAAAACUGUAAAUGUGAAAGUCAAGAUUAUUUGUUAGUUUCCUCUUCAAGUGUGUUGGCUAAAACAAAUUUUAAGAAUUAAAAUACUUCAUAUGUACAGAAUUUAAAACAUAAGUACUGUUUUCCAGUUAAGUUACAUGUAUCAGGCAGAUGGCUUUCUCAGCCCUGUAACACCACCUUUUCAAUAAAGCUAUUAAUUAAAAUGUUUCUGACUGUUCA
ensembl:lncRNA